rnacentral:rRNA from 1 species
ACGCUGGCGGCGUGCUUAACACAUGCAAGUCGAACGGUGACCCGGGGCUUGCCCUGGUGAUCAGUGGCGAACGGGUGAGUAACACGUGGGCAACCUGCCCCUGACUUCGGGAUAACUCCUCGAAAGAGGAGCUAAUACCGGAUACGACCACUUCGGACAUCCGAUGGUGGUGGAAAGUUUUUCGGUCAGGGAUGGGCCCGCGGCCUAUCAGCUAGUUGGUGGGGUAAUGGCCUACCAAGGCGACGACGGGUAGCCGGCCUGAGAGGGCGACCGGCCACACUGGGACUGAGACACGGCCCAGACUCCUACGGGAGGCAGCAGUGGGGAAUAUUGCGCAAUGGGCGAAAGCCUGACGCAGCGACGCCGCGUGAGGGAUGAAGGCCUUCGGGUUGUAAACCUCUUUCAGCAGGGACGAAGCGAAAGUGACGGUACCUGCAGAAGAAGCACCGGCUAACUACGUG